rnacentral:tRNA from 1 species
AGCACUGGGGCUCAGAGGUAGAGCACUUGCCUCGCACUCACAAAGCCCUGAGUUUGAUUCUCAGCACUGCCA